CUUCGCUGACGAGUGGCGGACGGGUGAGUAAUGUCUGGGAAACUGCCUGAUGGAGGGGGAUAACUACUGGAAACGGUGGCUAAUACCGCAUAACGUCGCAAGACCAAAGAGGGGGACCUUCGGGCCUCUUGCCAUCAGAUGUGCCCAGAUGGGAUUAGCUAGUUGGUGAGGUAACGGCUCACCAAGGCGACGAUCCCUAGCUGGUCUGAGAGGAUGACCAGCCACACUGGAACUGAGACACGGUCCAGACUCCUACGGGAGGCAGCAGUGGGGAAUAUUGCACAAUGGGCGCAAGCCUGAUGCAGCCAUGCCGCGUGUAUGAAGAAGGCCUUCGGGUUGUAAAGUACUUUCAGCGGGGAGGAAGGUGUUGUGGUUAAUAACCGCAGCAAUUGACGUUACCCGCAGAAGAAGCACCGGCUAACUCCGUGCCAGCAGCCGCGGUAAUACGGAGGGUGCAAGCGUUAAUCGGAAUUACUGGGCGUAAAGCGCACGCAGGCGGUCUGUCAAGUCGGAUGUGAAAUCCCCGGGCUCAACCUGGGAACUGCAUUCGAAACUGGCAGGCUUGAGUCUUGUAGAGGGGGGUAGAAUUCCAGGUGUAGCGGUGAAAUGCGUAGAGAUCUGGAGGAAUACCGGUGGCGAAGGCGGCCCCCUGGACAAAGACUGACGCUCAGGUGCGAAAGCGUGGGGAGCAAACAGGAUUAGAUACCCUGGUAGUCCACGCCGUAAACGAUGUCUACUUGGAGGUUGUGCCCUUGAGGCGUGGCUUCCGGAGCUAACGCGUUAAGUAGACCGCCUGGGGAGUACGGCCGCAAGGUUAAAACUCAAAUGAAUUGACGGGGGCCCGCACAAGCGGUGGAGCAUGUGGUUUAAUUCGAUGCAACGCGAAGAACCUUACCUGGUCUUGACAUCCACAGAACUUUCCAGAGAUGGAUUGGUGCCUUCGGGAACUGUGAGACAGGUGCUGCAUGGCUGUCGUCAGCUCGUGUUGUGAAAUGUUGGGUUAAGUCCCGCAACGAGCGCAAC
rnacentral:rRNA from 1 species